rnacentral:rRNA from 1 species
AAGGAUCAUUACUGUGAUUUAUAUCUUAUACACAUGCGUGAGCGCACCAAACACCUAAAAUUGUAAUAAUACCAUGUCACUAAGUUUUAACAAAACAAAACUUUCAACAACGGAUCUCUUGGUUCUCGCAUCGAUGAAGAGCGCAGCGAAAUGCGAUACCUAGUGUGAAUUGCAGCCAUCGUGAAUCAUCGAGUUCUUGAACGCACAUUGCGCCCCAUGGUAUUCCAUGGGGCAUGCCUGUCUGAGCGUCGUUUCCUUCUUGCGCAAGCAGAGUUGAGAACAGGCUAUGCCUUUUUCGAAAUGGAACGUCGUGGACGAAGUGAACUAAAUAUUUAGCACGCUUUGGCCGCCGAACUUUUAACUAAGCUCGACCUCAGAUCAGGUAGGAAUACCCGCUGAACUUAA